GAAGGUAUAGCUCAGUGGUAGAGUAUUUGCUUAGCACACACAAAGUCCUGGGUUCAGUCCCCAAGUACCUCCA
rnacentral:tRNA from 1 species